CAGUAUGUCUGACAUUGUGCAUCACACUACAGUGCAGGUGUAUGUCAUUAUAUAACUGACAGACCGCAGCCCCAGCAACUGCUCAAGAGCUCAGGAGCAGGUCACAUGACCAGUCAGGUGGUUAGGCCGGUGACAGUUGGGAGAGGUAGUUGAUGGAGAGCUCGCUGAGGGGACGGAGAGAGGUGCGCUGGUGAUGCGUACUCGGUGCGGCAUUAACAGCUGUGGUAACCGCUUCGUACCUGCAUCUGAUGACAAAGUUAAGCUGAAUUACCCCGAACAGACUCCGGUGUGUCCCGCUGAGCUUGGAGAGUGAGUCCGGUGUGGAGAUCCUUAUCCGCGCUACAGAGAAGAUGUCAUCGCUGAUGCUGAUGAUGGGGGCGGUAGCGGAUCCCUCCCUCUGACUGCCUGCUGUAAGAUACUUCUAGUGGGGACGCCUUCAGGAAAGUGUCUUGGAGGUGACUGACAUUCAUAGAUGGAGACUCUGCCCGACAGUGAAGUACAUUUCGGUUACCCCUAGCUCUAUUAAAAGCCAAUAGACACUGUAACUUGGGAGGCUACCACCAUUGCAGAAUGCCAAUAAUAGACAACCAGGCAAAAGGAAAGUGAUUCACCUAUUGCACAUGCAGUUUGCAGUGAAGGUCCCGCAGGUCUAAAAGCAGACACUAAGCAAGCAACAGCACUGAGGUGGUGCUAAAGCCACUGAAAACCUGCAGACAGCAUGCUGAGGACCACAGCAGACAUGCCAGCAGUGUAUUUGAGAGCGGUUCUACAGCAGAUAAGAUACAGAAGUCUAUUUAAUUGGAAAGAAUUAUUGCCUAUUGGUUACCAUAUUGAAAAUUCAUUUGUUUAUGUUUGUCAUAUUUAAUUUGUACCAAAAUUACUGUCAUUAUUUUCUCUCUAAAGUGACCAUCCCUGGACUCACAUCCUCUUACAUCCCUUUAAUAAAUCUACUUGAUUAUUCUAA